rnacentral:rRNA from 1 species
CCACUUUCAACAACGGAUCUCUUGGUUCUGGCAUCGAUGAAGAACGCAUCGAAAUGCGAUAAGUAGAGUGAAUUGCAGAAUUCAGAGAAUCAUCGAAUCUUUGAAAGCUCAUUGCGCCCCUUGGUAUUCCAUGGCGCAUGCCUGUUCUAGCGACAUUU